ACCGCCACAGAAGGCGAAAGAGCCGUCGA
rnacentral:sRNA from 1 species